rnacentral:rRNA from 1 species
UUUUCAUCAGACAAUCUGUGUGAGCACUGCAAAGUACGCUUCUUUAAGGUAAGGAGGUGAUCCAACCGCAGGUUCCCCUACGGUUACCUUGUUACGACUUCACCCCAGUCAUGAAUCACAAAGUGGUAAGCGCCCUCCCGAAGGUUAAGCUACCUACUUCUUUUGCAACCCACUCCCAUGGUGUGACGGGCGGUGUGUACAAGGCCCGGGAACGUAUUCACCGUGGCAUUCUGAUCCACGAUUACUAGCGAUUCCGACUUCAUGGAGUCGAGUUGCAGACUCCAAUCCGGACUACGACGCACUUUAUGAGGUCCGCUUGCUCUCGCGAGGUCGCUUCUCUUUGUAUGCGCCAUUGUAGCACGUGUGUAGCCCUGGUCGUAAGGGCCAUGAUGACUUGACGUCAUCCCCACCUUCCUCCAGUUUAUCACUGGCAGUCUCCUUUGAGUUCCCGGCCGGACCGCUGGCAACAAAGGAUAAGGGUUGCGCUCGUUGCGGGACUUAACCCAACAUUUCACAACACGAGCUGACGACAGCCAUGCAGCACCUGUCUCACGGUUCCCGAAGGCACAUUCUCAUCUCUGAAAACUUCCGUGGAUGUCAAGACCAGGUAAGGUUCUUCGCGUUGCAUCGAAUUAAACCACAUGCUCCACCGCUUGUGCGGGCCCCCGUCAAUUCAUUUGAGUUUUAACCUUGCGGCCGUACUCCCCAGGCGGUCUACUUAACGCGUUAGCUCCGGAAGCCACGCCUCAAGGGCACAACCUCCAAGUAGACAUCGUUUACGGCGUGGACUACCAGGGUAUCUAAUCCUGUUUGCUCCCCACGCUUUCGCACCUGAGCGUCAGUCUUUGUCCAGGGGGCCGCCUUCGCCACCGGUAUUCCUCCAGAUCUCUACGCAUUUCACCGCUACACCUGGAAUUCUACCCCCCUCUACAAGACUCAAGCCUGCCAGUUUCGAAUGCAGUUCCCAGGUUGAGCCCGGGGAUUUCACAUCCGACUUGACAGACCGCCUGCGUGCGCUUUACGCCCAGUAAUUCCGAUUAACGCUUGCACCCUCCGUAUUNNNNNNNNNNNNNNNNNNNNGCUUCUUCUGCGGGUAACGUCAAUUGCUGCGGUUAUUAACCACAACACCUUCCUCCCCGCUGAAAGUACUUUACAACCCGAAGGCCUUCUUCAUACACGCGGCAUGGCUGCAUCAGGCUUGCGCCCAUUGUGCAAUAUUCCCCACUGCUGCCUCCCGUAGGAGUCUGGACCGUGUCUCAGUUCCAGUGUGGCUGGUCAUCCUCUCAGACCAGCUAGGGAUCGUCGCCUUGGUGAGCCGUUACCUCACCAACAAGCUAAUCCCAUCUGGGCACAUCUGAUGGCAAGAGGCCCGAAGGUCCCCCUCUUUGGUCUUGCGACGUUAUGCGGUAUUAGCCACCGUUUCCAGUAGUUAUCCCCCUCCAUCAGGCAGUUUCCCAGACAUUACUCACCCGUCCGCCACUCGUCAGCAAAGCAGCAAGCUGCUUCCUGUUACCGUUCGACUUGCAUGUGUUAGGCCUGCCGCCAGCGUUCAAUCUGAGCCAUGAUCAAACUCUUCAAUUUAAAAGUUUGAUGCUCAAUGAAUUAAACUUCGUAAUGAAUUACGUGUUCACUCUUGAGACUUGGUAUUCAUUUUUCGU